rnacentral:rRNA from 1 species
UAUGUGAUCGUCUCUCGCAUAUCAAUAAGCGGAGGAAAAGAAACUAACAAGGAUUCCCCUAGUAACGGCGAGUGAAGCGGGAAGAGCUCAAAUUUGAAAUCUUAAAGGGUUUCCCUUUACGAAUUGUAGUUUAAAGAAGUGUUUUCUGUUGAGGUUUUGGUAAAAGUUCUUUGGAAUAGGACAUCAUAGAGGGUGAGAAUCCCGUAUUUGACCUUUACUUUCAACUUUGUGAUACACUUUCAAAGAGUCGGAUUGUUUGGGAAUGCAGUCCAAAAUGGGUGGUAAAUUUCAUCUAAAGCUAAAUAUUGGCGAGAGACCGAUAGCGAACAAGUACCGUGAGGGAAAGAUGAAAAGAACUUUGAAAAGAGAGUUAAACAGUACGUGAAAUUGUCAAAAGGGAAGCGUUUGACACCAGUGUUGGUUUUUCUGAAAAUCAAUUAAAGAACUGUUUAUGCUAAGUUGUUUAGACUUUAUCAGCUAACUGUUUAGUUUUGAGCUUUUCUUUAAUGCACUUUUCAGUUAACAAGUCAACAUCAAUUUCUUUUGCUGUAAAAAAGCUUGAGGAAGGUGGCUUGAGAUUCGUCUUAAGUGUUUAUAGCCUCUUGCCUAUGCAGUCGGAGAGAUUGAGGUCUGCAGCGUAGAUCCUUCGGGGCUAAAUGCAUUUGUGCUAAGUUAUAGCAUUUUAUAGACAACUUGUUGACUAUGAUUUGUCUUGUAGCUUACUCGCUUAUGUUAUUUUACCUACGCUUAGGAUGUUGAAGUCAUCGUAUCGCGC